CGCAUCCUUCGGGAUGAGCGGCGGACGGUGAGUAACGCGUGGGAAUGUGCCCUUCUCUACGGAAUAGCCACUGGAAACGGUGAGUAAUACCGUAUACGCCCUCAGGGGGAAAGAUUUAUCGGAGAAGGAUCGGCCCGCGUUAGAUUAGGUAGUUGGUGGGGUAACGGCCUACCAAGCCUACGAUCUAUAGCUGGGUUUUAGAGGAUGAUCAGCAACACUGGGACUGAGACACGGCCCAGACUCCUACGGGAGGCAGCAGUGGGGAAUCUUAGACAAUGGGCGCAAGCCUGAUCUAGCCAUGCCGCGUGAGUGAUGAAGGCCUUAGGGUCGUAAAGCACUUUCAACGGUGAAGAUGAUGACGGUAGCCGUAGAAGAAGCCCCGGCUAACUUCGUG
rnacentral:rRNA from 1 species